rnacentral:rRNA from 1 species
CAGCAGCCACGGUAAUACGUAGGUGGCAAGCGUUGUCCGGAAUUAUUGGGCGUAAAGGGCUCGCAGGCGGUUUCUUAAGUCUGAUGUGAAAGCCCCCGGCUCAACCGGGGAGGGUCAUUGGAAACUGGGAAACUUGAGUGCAGAAGAGGGGAGUGGAAUUCCACGUGUAGCGGUGAAAUGCGUAGAGAUGUGGAGGAACACCAGUGGCGAAGGCGACUCUCUGGUCUGUAACUGACGCUGAGGAGCGGAAGCGUGGGGAGCGAACAGGAUUAGAUACCCCAGUAGUCCCUGUCUCUUAUAC